rnacentral:rRNA from 1 species
ACACGACUACAUUAGAUACCCGCGUAGUCCCAGCCCUAAACGAUGCGCGUUAGGUGUAUCGGUGACCACGAGUCACCGAGGUGCCGAAGGGAAACCGUGAAACGUGCCGCCUGGGAAGUACGGUCGCAAGGCUGAAACUUAAAGAAAUUGGCGGGGGAGCACCACAACGGGUGGAGCCUGCGGUUUAAUUGGACUCAACGCCGGGAAGCUCACCGGAUAAGACAGCGGAAUGAUUGCCGGGCUGAAGACCCUGCAUGACCAGCUG